CCUACGGGGGGCAGCAGUGGGGAAUAUUGGACAAUGGGGGGAACCCUGAUCCAGCCAUGCCGCGUGUGUGAAGAAGGCCCUCGGGUUGUAAAGCACUUUCAGUGAGGAAGAACGCCUGGUGGUUAAUACCCAUCAGGAAAGACAUCACUCACAGAAGAAGCACUGGCUAACUCCGUGCCAGCAGCCGCGGUAAUACGGAGGGUGCGAGCGUUAAUCGGAAUUACUGGGCGUAAAGCGCGCGUAGGUGGCUUGAUAAGCCGGUUGUGAAAGCCCCGGGCUCAACCUGGGAACGGCAUCCGGAACUGUCAAGCUAGAGUGCAGGAGAGGAAGGUAGAAUUCCCGGUGUAGCGGUGAAAUGCGUAGAGAUCGGGAGGAAUACCAGUGGCGAAGGCGGCCUUCUGGACUGACACUGACACUGAGGUGCGAAAGCGUGGGUAGCAAACAGGAUUAGAUACCCCUGUAGUC
rnacentral:rRNA from 1 species